rnacentral:rRNA from 1 species
GACGAACGCUGGCGGCGUGCUUAACACAUGCAAGUCGAACGAUGAAGCCGGAGCUUGCUCUGGUGAAUUAGUGGCGAACGGGUGAGUAACACGUGAGUAACCUGCCCUUGACUCUGGGAUAACUGCUAGAAAUGGUAGCUAAUACCGGAUACGACCCUCGGAGGCAUCUCCAGGGGGUGGAAAGAAUUUCGGUCAAGGAUGGACUCGCGGCCUAUCAGCUAGUUGGUGAGGUAACGGCUCACCAAGGCGACGACGGGUAGCCGGCCUGAGAGGGUGACCGGCCACACUGGGACUGAGACACGGCCCAGACUCCUACGGGAGGCAGCAGUUAGGAAUAUUGCACAAUGGGCGCAAGCCUGAUGCAGCAACGCCGCGUGAGGGAUGACGGCCUUCGGGUUGUAAACCUCUUUUAGUAGGGAAGAAGCGAAAGUGACGGUACCUGCAGAAAAAGCACCGGCUAACUACGUGCCAGCAGCCGCCGUAA